AUGUGGAGAGCCAGAGACCGGGAAUUGACUGCAGCAGAGGAGUGGCAUGGACCAUCUGCAGCCACCUACCACUUGCUUCCAGGGAAGAUGAAGGCCUUGGCCACGGUCCACUUCAGCUUCCCAACAAUCCUGGUACAAACAAAGAUGCUUUUGGGGGUGGGUAUUUGUAUCCUAGGGGCCAUCCUUCACUCCUUCGCCCUAUAUCCAACCUAUUAUCAAAUCCUUUCUGCUCUAUUUUCAACCUGUCUAUGGCCUGAUUACUUCUCAACUUAUGUACACUUAUCACUCUAGCACAAGUCAUUGUCAUCUCUCUUAAUCAGUCUUGCAUCCACCUUGCUCCCUUAUAGUCUAUUUCUCAGACAUAGGCCAAAGGGAUCCUAUUAAAUUCUAGGUCAGAUAUCUUACACCUCUGUUGCAAUGGUCUUCCAUCUCUUUGAGAGUAAACAAUGAAGUACUCACAUGCCAUGCAGUGCCCCACAAUUUCUGCUCUUGAUCCUGUGUCCUCUCUGACCUUGUCUCCUAAUACCGUGCUCCCCAUUUCCUUAACUCCACUGGGCUCCUGAAUCUGCCUCAAGCACACAAGACAUUCUCCUGCCUCAGAGCUUUUGUGUUUGCUUUAACACAUUCCUGGAGGGCUCCCUUAUACAGCCACAUGGCUUUGCCCCUCACAUCCUUUAAGUCUUUGCUUAAAUGUCACCUCUACACUGAAGGCUUCUCCCAAUGAUACUGUUCACUUGCAGCCUUUCCCUGUCUCAUUUUUUUUUCUUGUCGCACUUACUAGUUAGCAUCUUUCACAUUGUAUUGAUUGAUUGAUUUCAAUUGAUUGAUUAAUGGAUUGGUUGAUUUGACCAGUCUCCCCAAAGCAAAAUGUAAGCUUUACAAGGACAAGAAUUUCUGUUGUUUAGUUCACUAUUAUAGUCCUAGUCACAUAGAGUAGGUGUCAACACUAUUUGUUGAACAAGCAGCCUCCCUUCUUUACUUCCAACUGUAGAAGGCCUCUUCUUACAACCAAUCUUAUUAUCUUUUGAGGUCCAAGGGAGUAGUGAUGGAGAAAACUGGUUCAAGUUACCAUGGUCCAGUGGAAGGAGGGUGGGAAUAAACCCCAUGUGAAUCUACUCUCCCUGGGGAGA
rnacentral:lncRNA from 1 species